rnacentral:snRNA from 1 species
AUCGCUUCUCGGCCUUUUGGCUAAGAUCAAGUGUAGACUGCCAGGGCAGUGCCUAUAUAACUUUAAUUAAUGUGGCCAAAAGAUAUUCUUUUGAAAGUAAACAUUAAAAACAUAAUAUAUUUCAAAGUGUUCCAGUGAAGUUCAU